UAUAUUAAAGUUGUUGCAGUUAAAAAGCUCGUAGUUGAAUUUCGGGAUUGACACAUCGGUCGUGCCUUAAGGGGUAUGAACUGGUGUAGUCAAUUUCUCACCUUCUGGAGAACGGCGAUGCCCUUAAUUGGGUGUCGCGGGGAACCAGGACCUUUACUUUGAAAAAAUUAGA
rnacentral:rRNA from 1 species